rnacentral:rRNA from 67 species
UUAAGCGACUAAGCGUACACGGUGGAUGCCCUGGCAGUCAGAGGCGAUGAAGGACGUGCUAAUCUGCGAUAAGCGUCGGUGAGGUGAUAUGAACCGUUAUAACCGGCGAUUUCCGAAUGGGGAAACCCAGUGUGUUUCGACACACUAUCAUUAACUGAAUCCAUAGGUUAAUGAGGCGAACCGGGGGAACUGAAACAUCUAAGUACCCCGAGGAAAAGAAAUCAACCGAGAUUCCCCCAGUAGCGGCGAGCGAACGGGGAGGAGCCCAGAGCCUGAAUCAGUGUGUGUGUUAGUGGAAGCGUCUGGAAAGGCGCGCGAUACAGGGUGACAGCCCCGUACACAAAAAUGCACAUAUUGUGAGCUCGAUGAGUAGGGCGGGACACGUGGUAUCCUGUCUGAAUAUGGGGGGACCAUCCUCCAAGGCUAAAUACUCCUGACUGACCGAUAGUGAACCAGUACCGUGAGGGAAAGGCGAAAAGAACCCCGGCGAGGGGAGUGAAAAAGAACCUGAAACCGUGUACGUACAAGCAGUGGGAGCCUCUUUAUGGGGUGACUGCGUACCUUUUGUAUAAUGGGUCAGCGACUUAUAUUCUGUAGCAAGGUUAACCGAAUAGGGGAGCCGAAGGGAAACCGAGUCUUAACUGGGCGUUAAGUUGCAGGGUAUAGACCCGAAACCCGGUGAUCUAGCCAUGGGCAGGUUGAAGGUUGGGUAACACUAACUGGAGGACCGAACCGACUAAUGUUGAAAAAUUAGCGGAUGACUUGUGGCUGGGGGUGAAAGGCCAAUCAAACCGGGAGAUAGCUGGUUCUCCCCGAAAGCUAUUUAGGUAGCGCCUCGUGAAUUCAUCUCCGGGGGUAGAGCACUGUUUCGGCAAGGGGGUCAUCCCGACUUACCAACCCGAUGCAAACUGCGAAUACCGGAGAAUGUUAUCACGGGAGACACACGGCGGGUGCUAACGUCCGUCGUGAAGAGGGAAACAACCCAGACCGCCAGCUAAGGUCCCAAAGUCAUGGUUAAGUGGGAAACGAUGUGGGAAGGCCCAGACAGCCAGGAUGUUGGCUUAGAAGCAGCCAUCAUUUAAAGAAAGCGUAAUAGCUCACUGGUCGAGUCGGCCUGCGCGGAAGAUGUAACGGGGCUAAACCAUGCACCGAAGCUGCGGCAGCGACACUAUGUGUUGUUGGGUAGGGGAGCGUUCUGUAAGCCUGUGAAGGUGGCCUGUGAGGGUUGCUGGAGGUAUCAGAAGUGCGAAUGCUGACAUAAGUAACGAUAAAGCGGGUGAAAAGCCCGCUCGCCGGAAGACCAAGGGUUCCUGUCCAACGUUAAUCGGGGCAGGGUGAGUCGACCCCUAAGGCGAGGCCGAAAGGCGUAGUCGAUGGGAAACAGGUUAAUAUUCCUGUACUUGGUGUUACUGCGAAGGGGGGACGGAGAAGGCUAUGUUGGCCGGGCGACGGUUGUCCCGGUUUAAGCGUGUAGGCUGGUUUUCCAGGCAAAUCCGGAAAACCAAGGCUGAGGCGUGAUGACGAGGCACUACGGUGCUGAAGCGACAAAUGCCCUGCUUCCAGGAAAAGCCUCUAAGCAUCAGGUAACAUCAAAUCGUACCCCAAACCGACACAGGUGGUCAGGUAGAGAAUACCAAGGCGCUUGAGAGAACUCGGGUGAAGGAACUAGGCAAAAUGGUGCCGUAACUUCGGGAGAAGGCACGCUGAUAUGUAGGUGAAGCGACUUGCUCGUGGAGCUGAAAUCAGUCGAAGAUACCAGCUGGCUGCAACUGUUUAUUAAAAACACAGCACUGUGCAAACACGAAAGUGGACGUAUACGGUGUGACGCCUGCCCGGUGCCGGAAGGUUAAUUGAUGGGGUUAGCGGUAACGCGAAGCUCUUGAUCGAAGCCCCGGUAAACGGCGGCCGUAACUAUAACGGUCCUAAGGUAGCGAAAUUCCUUGUCGGGUAAGUUCCGACCUGCACGAAUGGCGUAAUGAUGGCCAGGCUGUCUCCACCCGAGACUCAGUGAAAUUGAACUCGCUGUGAAGAUGCAGUGUACCCGCGGCAAGACGGAAAGACCCCGUGAACCUUUACUAUAGCUUGACACUGAACAUUGAGCCUUGAUGUGUAGGAUAGGUGGGAGGCUUUGAAGUGUGGACGCCAGUCUGCAUGGAGCCGACCUUGAAAUACCACCCUUUAAUGUUUGAUGUUCUAACGUUGGCCCGUAAUCCGGGUUGCGGACAGUGUCUGGUGGGUAGUUUGACUGGGGCGGUCUCCUCCUAAAGAGUAACGGAGGAGCACGAAGGUUGGCUAAUCCUGGUCGGACAUCAGGAGGUUAGUGCAAUGGCAUAAGCCAGCUUGACUGCGAGCGUGACGGCGCGAGCAGGUGCGAAAGCAGGUCAUAGUGAUCCGGUGGUUCUGAAUGGAAGGGCCAUCGCUCAACGGAUAAAAGGUACUCCGGGGAUAACAGGCUGAUACCGCCCAAGAGUUCAUAUCGACGGCGGUGUUUGGCACCUCGAUGUCGGCUCAUCACAUCCUGGGGCUGAAGUAGGUCCCAAGGGUAUGGCUGUUCGCCAUUUAAAGUGGUACGCGAGCUGGGUUUAGAACGUCGUGAGACAGUUCGGUCCCUAUCUGCCGUGGGCGCUGGAGAACUGAGGGGGGCUGCUCCUAGUACGAGAGGACCGGAGUGGACGCAUCACUGGUGUUCGGGUUGUCAUGCCAAUGGCACUGCCCGGUAGCUAAAUGCGGAAGAGAUAAGUGCUGAAAGCAUCUAAGCACGAAACUUGCCCCGAGAUGAGUUCUCCCUGAGACUUAGAGUCUCCUGAAGGAACGUUGAAGACGACGACGUUGAUAGGCCGGGUGUGUAAGCGCAGCGAUGCGUUGAGCUAACCGGUACUAAUGAACCGUGAGGCUUAACCUU